GGGAAGAGAGCUUGCUCAAACACGUACUUUGCCCACAAGACCAAACACAUCAAGAUAUUCAGAGCAUCAAGAGUCAGUUUGAUGCAGUCAAAGCCACAAUGAAGAUCUGCUUCAGUGGUAUCCUGGGACAGGGCUUGAUGGGCCUUGAGAAACUACAGAGGGUAAUGAUACCCACAACGAGUAGGAAUGUUCUGCCAAUUGUGCCCCAGGAACAAUGAAUGAGUGCCCCAGAUACCAGGGUGCUUGAAGGAGUGAAUGAAUGCCCAAGCAACAGGCUGUCCAAACCUUGUUAUUCCAUCCAUGGAGCCAUGCUGCCAUCUAGUGGCCAGAGAUGAUUUCCAUUGAAAUCAUAUUUCCAAAACAAGUUUUGAGCGAAUGCUUGGAGAAACAGAAUUGCACCAAAUGAGCCUUGUGGCACUUGGAAAGAUUAAUGUAUUUAUUAUGGUACACGCAUUUGGAGAAUAAAGUCCCAUUCCAUCA